GACGAACGCUGGCGGCGUGCUUAACACAUGCAAGUCGAACGGAAAGGCCCUGCUUGCAGGGUACUCGAGUGGCGAACGGGUGAGUAACACGUGGGUGAUCUGCCCUGCACUUCGGGAUAAGCCUGGGAAACUGGGUCUAAUACCGGAUAGGAGCCAUUUUUAGUGCGAUGGUUGGAAAGUUUUUUCGGUGUAGGAUGAGCUCGCGGCCUAUCAGCUUGUUGGUGGGGUAAUGGCCUACCAAGGCGGCGACGGGUAGCCGGCCUGAGAGGGUGGACGGCCACAUUGGGACUGAGAUACGGCCCAGACUCCUACGGGAGGCAGCAGUGGGGAAUAUUGCACAAUGGGCGCAAGCCUGAUGCAGCGACGCCGCGUGGGGGAUGACGGCCUUCGGGUUGUAAACUCCUUUCGCUAGGGACGAAGCUUUUGUGACGGUACCUAGAUAAGAAGCACCGGCUAACUACGUG
rnacentral:rRNA from 1 species